UACAGAGGGGGCAAGCGUUGCUCGGAAUUACUGGGCGUAAAGGGCGCGUAGGCGGGAUGGCAAGUCAGUCGUGAAAUCUCUCGGCUCAACCGAGAAACGUCGGCUGAUACUGCCGUUCUUGAGGGAUGCAGAGGAGACUGGAAUUCCCGGUGUAGCGGUGAAAUGUGUAGAGAUCGGGAGGAACACCGGUGGCGAAGGCGGGUCUCUGGGCAUCUCCUGACGCUGAGGCGCGAAAGCGUGGGGAGCAAACGGG
rnacentral:rRNA from 1 species